AUGGGAUGCCCAGUCAAAUUUCAUUUUCAGAUAAUGAAUAAUUUUUAGUAUAAGUAUGUCCCAUGCAAUAUUUGGGAUAUACUUAUCCUAAAAAUUAUUUGUUAUUUAUUUAGAAUUCAGAUUUAACUGGGUAUUUUGUAU
rnacentral:miRNA from 1 species